rnacentral:rRNA from 2 species
GAAUGUUUGAUCUUGACUCUGAAUAACACGUGGGUAACCUGCCUGUAAGACUGGGAUAACUCCGGGAAACCGGAGCUAAUACCGGAUAGUUCCUUGAACCGCAUGGUUCAAGGAUGAAAGACGGUUUCGGUUGUCACUUACAGAUGGACCCGCGGCGCAUUAGUUAGUUGGGGGGGUAAUGGCUCACCAAGGCGACGAUGCGUAGCCGACCUGAGAGGGUGAUCGGCCACACUGGGACUGAAACACGGCCCAAACUCCUACGGGAGGCAGCAGAAGGGAAUCUUCCGCAAUGGACAAAAGUCUGACGGAGCAACGCCGCGGGAGUGAUGAAGGUUUUCGGAUCGAAAAGUUCUGUUGUUAGGGAAAAACAAGUGCGAGAGUAACUGCUCGCACCUUGACGGUACCUAACCAAAAAGCCACGGUUAACUACGUGCCAGCAGCCGCGGAAAUACGUAGGGGGCAAGCGUUGUCCGGAAUUAUUGGGCGUAAAGGGCUCGCAGGCGGUUUCUUAAGUCUGAUGUGAAAGCCCCCGGCUCAACCGGGGAGGGUCUUU